GAACUACUCCCUCCGUCCCAAAAUUAUUGUCUUAGAUUUGUCCAAAUACGGAUGUAUCUAGUUACGUUUUAGUGUUAGAUACAUCUGUAUCUAGACAAAUCUAAGACAAGAAUUUUGGGACGGAGGGAGUAUUAU
rnacentral:pre_miRNA from 1 species